AAAACUGAGGUGGGUGUAAGAUGGACCCGCGUCUGAUUAGGUAGUUGGUGGGGUAACGGCCCACCAAGCCGACGAUCAGUAGCCGGCCUGAGAGGGUGGACGGCCACAUUGGGACUGAGACACGGCCCAGACUCCUACGGGAGGCAGCAGUGGGGAAUAUUGCACAAUGGGGGAAACCCUGAUGCAGCGACGCCGCGUGAGCGAUGAAGUAUUUCGGUAUGUAAAGCUCUAUCAGCAGGGAAGAAAAUGACAGUACCUGACUAAGAAGCCCCGGCUAACUACGUGCCAGCAGCCGCGGUAAUACGUAGGGGGCAAGCGUUAUCCGGAUUUACUGGGUGUAAAGGGAGCGUAGACGGCAUGGCAAGCCAGAUGUGAAAUACCGGGGCUCAACCCCGGGACUGCAUUUGGAACUGUUAAGCUGGAGUGUCGGAGAGGCAGGCGGAAUUCCUAGUGUAGCGGUGAAAUGCGUAGAUAUUAGAAGGAACACCAGUGGCGAAGGCGGCCUGCUGGACGAUGACUGACGUUGAGGCUCGAAAGCGUGGGGAGCUUUAAAGGUUAGAUACCCUGGUAGUCCACGCCGUA
rnacentral:rRNA from 1 species